UACGAAGGGUGCAAGCGUUAAUCGGAAUUACUGGGCGUAAAGCGCGCGUAGGUGGUUCAGUAAGUUGGAAGUGAAAUCCCCGGGCUCAACCUGGGAACUGCUUUCAAAACUGCUGAGCUAGAGUACGGUAGAGGGUGGUGGAAUUUCCUGUGUAGCGGUGAAAUGCGUAGAGAUAGGAAGGAACACCAGUGGCGAAGGCGACCACCUGGACUGAUACUGACACUGAGGUGCGAAAGCGUGGGGAGCAAACAGG
rnacentral:rRNA from 1 species